UGUCGUGACUGCGUGCCUUUUGAAGAAUGAGCCUGCGAGUUUGCGGCAUGUUGCGAGGUUAACCCGUGUGGGGGAGCCGUAGCGAAAGCGAGUCCGAAGAGGGCGUUGAGUAGCGUGUUCAAGACCCGAAGCGGGGUGAUCUAGCCAUGGGCAGGGUGAAGCGGAGGUAAGACUUCGUGGAGGCCCGAACCCACCAGGGUUGAAAACCUGGGGGAUGACCUGUGGUUAGGGGUGAAAGGCCAAUCAAACUCCGUGAUAGCUGGUUCUCCCCGAAAUGCAUUUAGGUGCAGCGUCGUGUGUUUCUUGCCGGAGGUAGAGCACUGGGUAGGCGAUGGGCCUUACCGGGUUACUGACCUUAGCCAAACUCCGAAUGCCGGUAAGUGAGAGCGCGGCAGUGAGACUGUGGGGGAUAAGCUCCAUGGUCGAGAGGGAAACAGCCCAGAGCAUCGACUAAGGCCCCUAAGCGUGUGCUAAGUGGGAAAGGAUGUGGAGUCGCAGAGACAACCAGGAGGUUGGCUUAGAAGCAGCCAUCCUUGAAAGAGUGCGUAAUAGCUCACUGGUCAAGUGAUUCCGCGCCGAUAAUGUAGCGGGGCUCAAGCACACCGCCGACGUCGUGUCACUCCAACAUUACUUCUAACGAGGGUUGGGGUGGGUAGGGGAGCGUCGUGUGCCGGGUGAAGCAGCCGUGGAAGCGAGUUGUGGACGGUUCACGAGUGAGAAUGCAGGCAUGAGUAGCGAUACAUGCGUGAGAAACGUGUGCGCCGAUUGACUAAGGGUUCCUGGGUCAAGCUGAUCUGCCCAGGGUAAGUCGGGACCUAAGGCGAGGCCGACAGGCGUAGUCGAUGGAGAACCGGUUGAUAUUCCGGUACCCGCUGUGAAGCGAUCAACAUCGAAUCCAGUGAUGCUAAGGCCGUGAAGCCGCCCUGGAUCCUUCGGGUGAAGGGGAGUGGUGGAGCCGCUGACCCGAGCUGGUAGUAGGUGAGUGAUGGGGUGACGCAGGGAGGUAGUCCAUCCCGGGCGGUGGUUGUCCCGGGGUAAGGGUGUAGCCCGGUGUGCAGGGAAAUCCGUGCACCGUUAUAGGGGUGAGACCUGAUGCCGAGCCGUUUGUGGUGAAGUGGAUGAUCCUGUGCUGUCGAGAAAAGCCUCUAGCGAGUUUUGUGGCGGCCCGUACCCGAAACCGACUCAGGUGGUCUGGUAGAGAAUACCGAGGCGUUCGGGUGAACUAUGGUUAAGGAACUCGGCAAAAUGCCCCCGUAACUUCGGGAGAAGGGGGGCCACUUCUGGUGAUCACCUGCGCGGUGUGAGCUGGGGGUGGCCGCAGAGACCAGCGAGAAGCGACUGUUUACUAAAAACACAGGUCCGUGCGAAGCUGUAAGGCGAUGUAUACGGACUGACGCCUGCCCGGUGCUGGAACGUUAAGGGGACCGGUUAGCUCACUUUUUGGGUGGGCGAGGCUGGGAACUUAAGCGCCAGUAAACGGCGGUGGUAACUAUAACCAUCCUAAGGUAGCGAAAUUCCUUGUCGGGUAAGUUCCGACCUGCACGAAUGGCGUAACGACUUCUUGACUGUCUCAACCAUAGGCCCGGUGAAAUUGCACUACGAGUAAAGAUGCUCGUUUCGCGCAGCAGGACGGAAAGACCCCGGGACCUUUACUACAGCUUGAUAUUGGUGUUCGGUUCGGCUUGUGUAGGAUAGGUGGGAGACUGUGAAGCGGGCACGCCAGUGUUCGUGGAGUCGUUGUUGAAAUACCACUCUGGUCGUGCUGGAUGUCUAACCUGGGUCCGUGAUCCGGAUCGGGGACAGUGUCUGGUGGGUAGUUUAACUGGGGCGGUUGCCUCCUAAAGGGUAACGGAGGCGCCCAAAGGUUCCCUCAGCCUGGUUGGUCAUCAGGUGGUGAGUGUAAGUGCACAAGGGAGCUUGACUGUGAGACUGACGGGUCGAGCAGGGACGAAAGUCGGGACUAGUGAUCCGGCGGUGGCUUGUGGAAGCGCCGUCGCUCAACGGAUAAAAGGUACCCCGGGGAUAACAGGCUGAUCUUCCCCAAGAGUCCAUAUCGACGGGAUGGUUUGGCACCUCGAUGUCGGCUCGUCGCAUCCUGGGGCUGGAGUCGGUCCCAAGGGUUGGGCUGUUCGCCCAUUAAAGCGGUACGCGAGCUGGGUUUAGAACGUCGUGAGACAGUUCGGUCCCUAUCCGCUGCGCGCGUUGGAGUCUUGAGAAGGGCUGUCCCUAGUACGAGAGGACCGGGACGGACGGACCUCUGGUGUGCCAGUUGUCCCGCCAGGGGCAUGGCUGGUUGGCUACGUUCGGGAAGGAUAACCGCUGAAAGCAUCUAAGCGGGAAGCCUGCUUCGAGAUGAGGACUCCUGCCCCCUUGA
rnacentral:rRNA from 1 species